CCUACGGGUGGCUGCAGUGGGGAAUAUUGGACAAUGGGCGAAAGCCUGAUCCAGCCAUGCCGCGUGUGUGAAGAAGGCCUUCGGGUUGUAAAGCACUUUCAGUGGGGAAGAAAGCCUUGGGGCUAAUACCCUCGAGGAAGGACAUCACCCACAGAAGAAGCACCGGCUAACUCCGUGCCAAGCAGCCGCGGUAAUACGGAGGGUGCGAGCGUUAAUCGGAAUUACUGGGCGUAAAGCGCGCGUAGGCGGUCUGAUAAGCCGGUUGUGAAAGCCCCGGGCUCAACCUGGGAACGGCAUCCGGAACUGUCAGGCUAGAGUGCAGGAGAGGAAGGUAGAAUUCCCGGUGUAGCGGUGAAAUGCGUAGAGAUCGGGAGGAAUACCAGUGGCGAAGGCGGCCUUCUGGACUGACACUGACGCUGAGGUGCGAAAGCGUGGGUAGCAAACAGGAUUAGAUACCCUAGUAGUC
rnacentral:rRNA from 1 species